rnacentral:rRNA from 1 species
CCUACGGGUGGCAGCAGUGAGGAAUAUUGGUCAAUGGGCGCGAGCCUGAACCAGCCAAGUCGCGUGAGGGAAGACGGUCCUAUGGAUUGUAAACCUCUUUUGUCGGGGAGUAAAAGACGCUACGCGUGGCGUUCCGAGAGUACCCGAAGAAAAAGCAUCGGCUAACUCCGUGCCAGCAGCCGCGGUAAUACGGAGGAUGCGAGCGUUACUCGGAAUUAUUGGGCGUAAAGGGUGCGUAGGCGGGGUAAUAAGUCAGAUGUGAAAUCCUGUAGCUUAACUACAGAACUGCAUUUGAAACUGUUGCUCUGGAGUGUAGGAGAGGUAGGUGGAAUGCUUGGUGUAGGGGUGAAAUGCGUAGAGAUCAAGAGGAAUACUGAUUGCGAAGGCAACCUGCUGAAACAUUACUGACGCUGAUGCACGAAAGCGUGGGGAGCAAACAGGAUUAGAUACCCGAGUAGUC